CUGCUAAUACCGCAUAAUGUCUACGGACCAAAGUGGGGGACCUUCGGGCCUCACGCCAUAAGAUUAGCCCAUGUGGGAUUAGCUUGUUGGUGAGGUAAUGGCUCACCAAGGCGACGAUCCCUAGCUGGUUUGAGAGGAUGAUCAGCCACACUGGGACUGAGACACGGCCCAGACUCCUACGGGAGGCAGCAGUGGGGAAUAUUGCACAAUGGGCGCAAGCCUGAUGCAGCCAUGCCGCGUGUGUGAAGAAGGCCUUCGGGUUGUAAAGCACUUUCAGUAAGGAGGAAAGGUUAGUAGUUAAUACCUGCUAGCUGUGACGUUACUUACAGAAGAAGCACCGGCUAACUCCGUGCCAGCAGCCGCGGUAAUACGGAGGGUGCGAGCGUUAAUCGGAAUUACUGGGCGUAAAGCGUACGCAGGCGGUUUGUUAAGCGGGAUGUGAAAGCCCCGGGCUCAACCUGGGAACUGCAUUUCGAACUGGCAAACUAGAGUAUGAUAGAGGGUGGUAGAAAUUUCAGGGUGUAGCGGUGAA
rnacentral:rRNA from 1 species